rnacentral:rRNA from 1 species
GGGUCAGUAGGUUGGUCGUGCCACCGGUACGUACUGGUCUCACUGAUUCCUCCUUCCUGAAGAACCGUAAUGCCAUUAAUUUGGUGUUGCGGGGAAACAGGACUGUUACUGUGAAAAAAUUGGAGUGUUUAAAGCAAGCUAACGCGUGAAUACCUUAGCAUGGAAUAAUGAAAUAGGACGAUCGAUCCUAUUUUGUUGGUUUCUAGGAUUGACGUAUUGAUUAAUAGGGAAAGUUGGG